ensembl:lncRNA
GCAGACAGGAAGUUUGGAUGUACACAUGCAGCCUAUUCUUGUUCCCCCACCCAAAACCCCAGCGCCCAAAGCCUGAAACUGGGGGAAGGGAGGCAGAAGGAGAGGAGGGUUUGGGUUGGGGGGAAUUUUAAACUGACUCCGAGUCUGGCCGCCUUGGUUCCCUCGGAGAUUGGAAACCUUUUUCUUCCCUCGAGUGUUUCACCCCCACCGGCUGCAAAGGGCCUUGUCCCUUGAGAAAUGAGAAAUCAAAUCCAGAGAAAAGCAGACACCUGCCCCGGAAGGGGGAGGGGGCGAGCUUUUCAGCAUCCGGACGCGGCCCUUCCCGGCGGCUGGAUCCAUCCAUCUGUGGGAGCUCCGAGUUGUCCCAGCCGAGCGGUUGGGGAGGAGGACAGCCGGCGGCCGGGGCCGGGCAAAGUUACGGGAUUCCUAGCAGCCCCCAGGCGCGCGGCCAGAGUGGCUCCGCGCUUGCGCGAGAACCCAGCGCCAGAAGGGCACGUGGAAAUUCUCCGCCAAAGCGCCUUGCCCGGGCGAGUGCUCAACUCGGUGAUUUAUAAACAGCUCAGCCACUCCCCAAAGACCUCCGCUCCUCCUAACGGAAAAAGUUGCAUCCAAAAGCUCAAGGAACACGGAAAGCGCUCACGCAGUCGAAGCCGCCCUUGGUGCCUCCCUGCCCCUUACCCAGAGGCCGAACACCCCCUUGACAGCGCUCCUUGUCACAAAGAGAAGGUCUACUCGAUCCAGACCGCUGCGCUGUUAGAACAGGCAACUCCUCCGCUCCUGAACAAGUAGUCUCUUACAAAACCGAGGCGCCGGUGGAGCCUGCCUUUAAUGGGGUCCUCACUCCGAGGUGCUGGAAGACCAUCCGGUCUGGAACCUAAAAGGAGGAGAUCUGGCGCUAGCGGGGUGGGGAGAGGCGAAUAAAAGCACCUUUGGGGAGGCAAAAGUGUCACACCUGGAGCAAGAAGCACAUGGGCACUGAAAUUCUAAUAGUUGGGGAAAGGAGACUUCAACGUGUGUGUGUGUGAGGGGGGGUGUAGCCUGACUUCUGGCUCUAGGUAUGAGACGUUGGGGUGUAUGUGUGUAUGUGUGUCCCAAGGUGAAUAAAAGUCGGACUCCCCCUGGAUUGUGGGGACUCAGCCUUUCUCUUCCUCUUUCUUCACUCCUUCUCCCGCCCUAUUGGGA